GACCAUUCCACGGUUUCCGUGACGCAGCUAACGCAUUAAGUUCCCCGCCUGGGGAGUACGGCCGCAAGGCUAAAACUCAAAGGAAUUGACGGGGACCCGCACAAGCGGCGGAGCAUGCGGAUUAAUUCGAUGCAACGCGAAGAACCUUACCAAGGCUUGACAUAUACGAGAACGCUGCAGAAAUGUAGAACUCUUUGGACACUGGUAUACAGGUGGUGCAUGGUUGUCGUCAGCUCGUGUCGUGAGAUGUUGGGUUAAGUCCCGCAACGAGCGCAACCCUCGUUCUAUGUUGCCAGCACGUAAUGGUGGGAACUCAUGGGAUACUGCCGGGGUCAACUCGGAGGAAGGUGGGGAUGACGUCAAAUCAUCAUGCCCCUUAUGUCUUGGGCUUCACGCAUGCUACAAUGGCCGGUACAAAGGGCUGCAAUACCGUGAGGUGGAGCGAAUCCCAAAAAGCCGGUCCCAGUUCGGAUUGAGGUCUGCAACUCGACCUCAUGAAGUCGGAGUCGCUAGUAAUCGCAGAUCAGCAA
rnacentral:rRNA from 1 species